UGUCACUGGGAGGGGAGGCACACCUGGAGUCAAUGUUAGCCUUGUGGGGGAUGAGCAGAGGGGCCACGGGCCUGAUGCGAAGCACCUCUCGGAUGGUGGCCUCCAGCAUGAUGAGAUUGCUCCGGUCGCUGAUGGUUGGUGUACGGCUGAAACCUAUAUUCUGGUCAAUCUCCUCAUGGAUCUUCUUCUUUAACUGAGGGCCAGAGGAGGGUAGAUGUGACCAGUGUGCUUAAGCCCCAGAGAAGUAUGAAGCAUGGGCUUAGAAGAAUCCAACUGUCAUAUCCAGAAAAGCCUGUCCACACAUUUCUCAGCGAUGGCUCUGAGCCCAGGCUCUGCUUCCAGAAGAUGGGGCAGCUCCACUCUGAGGCCAGGCUGCCAGAAUCCCUCCUGAAGGCAGAUCCUAGCUUUCUGUCCCUGAAGAGUUCCCACUCCCAAUUCUGACCUUCAGCCAAGAGGGAAGGCAAGAUGCAGACACAGAAUGGGAUCAUUAUGACAACUAGGACAAUUCCAAACAAGGGGAGAGGGAGAGGUCUCCACUUCCCUGUCUCCAUUCAGUCAAACAUCACACCCUGACUGCUGUGUGCCCAGUCCUUGGGGGUAAGACAGGCUCGAGUCUGAAGCCUUGAGCAAGCUCCUUAACCUCACUAAGGCUGUUUUCUCAUCUGUGCAAUGGGGAUAAUAAAAACUCCUUCCAAGGGGAAUUCUGCAA